GCAUGUUCACAUGAUUAAAGGUAUUCCGGUAGACGAUGGGGAUGCGUUCCAUUAGAUAGUAGGCGGGGUAACGGCCCACCUAGUCUUCGAUGGAUAGGGGUUCUGAGAGGAAGGUCCCCCACAUUGGAACUGAGACACGGUCCAAACUCCUACGGGAGGCAGCAGUGAGGAAUAUUGGUCAAUGGGCGAGAGCCUGAACCAGCCAAGUAGCGUGAAGGAUGACUGCCCUAUGGGCUGUAAACUUCUUUUAUAAAGGAAUAAAGUCGGGUAUGCAUACCCGUUUGUAUGUACUUUAUGAAUAAGGAUCGGCUAACUCCGUGCCAGCAGCCGCGGUAAUACGGAGGAUCCGAGCGUUAUCCGGAUUUAUUGGGUUUAAAGGGAGCGUAGAUGGAUGUUUAAGUCAGUUGUGAAAGUUUGCGGCUCAACCGUAAAAUUGCAGUUGAUACUGGAUAUCUUGAGUGCAGUUGAGGCAGGCGGAAUUCGUGGUGUAGCGGUGAAAUGCUUAGAUAUCACGAAGAACUCCGAUUGCGAAGGCAGCCUGCUAAGCUGCAACUGACAUUGAGGCUCGAAAGUGUGGGUAUCAAACAGGAUUAGAUACCCUGGUAGUCCACACGGUAAACGAUGAAUACUCGCUGUUUGCGAUAUACAGCAAGCGGCC
rnacentral:rRNA from 1 species